UACGUAGGGUGCAAGCGUUGUCCGGAAUUAUUGGGCGUAAAGAGCUCGUAGGCGGUCUGUCGCGUCUGCUGUGAAAACUCGGGGCUUAACCCCGGGCCUGCAGUGGGUACGGGCAGACUAGAGUGCGGUAGGGGAGACUGGAAUUCCUGGUGUAGCGGUGAAAUGCGCAGAUAUCAGGAGGAACACCGGUGGCGAAGGCGGGUCUCUGGGACGGUACUGACGCUAAGGCGCGAAAGCGUGGGGAGCGAACAGG
rnacentral:rRNA from 1 species